rnacentral:rRNA from 1 species
GUUUCGUAGGUGACCUGCGGAAGGAUCAUUACUGAGUUACAAAGUCGGUUGACUGUGCUGGCGGAAACGCAUGUGCACGUCGGUCGCAAACCAAUCCACACACCUGUGAACACUUGGCUUGGGUGCAUUUUGGUGGUCUUCGGAUCCGUACCCGGGCAAUUUUUACACACUCUAUCAUUGUAAAGGAAUGUACCUGUGCUUAAUGCGCAAAAAAAUAAACAACUUUCAACAACGGAUCUCUUGGCUCUCGCAUCGAUGAAGAACGCAGCGAAAUGCGAUAAGUAAUGUGAAUUGCAGAAUUCAGUGAAUCAUCUAAUCUUUGAACGCACCUUGCACCCUUUGGUAUUCCGAAGGGUACACCCGUUUGAGUGUCAUUGUAAUCUCACUCUCAAAAUCUUUUUUGGGAUGUGGAAUUGGAUGUUGUCGUUCUUCGACUCGUCUUGAAUGUAUCAGUGUAUCCCGCUCGUCCGCAUAACAGUGUGAUAAGUAUCUUCACUGGUAGUCUCUUCGGAGGCGCGCUUUCAGGUGGGCCUCUGCGCUUACAACAGGCUUCGGACAAUUUACUGACAAUUUGACCUCCUUCGAGUGGGACUACCCACUGAACUUUUUGAUAUCAAUAAGCGGACGACCAAAACUAACAAAGUUUCCGAUACGACCGUCGAGUGUGGACCUACUUUUCUUCUUUGAAUCUGACGUUCUCGGAGUUCGAGAAGUCCCCUAAUAAGUAGGGUCCGAACCAGAACGUACGUAUUUUACCAGUAAAGUUCGUUGGAAAUGCUGCUAAUACCGGAUGGGGAAUUUCCUCUCGAGCUAAGUAUUGCCCUCAGACGAUACCCGUUGUUUAGAGUGAUCCUAACAAUGAGUGGAACUUUCCAAAUAAGUUAAAAAG